GUGGAUGAACUGUCUUCUGAAGCAUGAGAAAACAGUUCUUGAAUAGCUCGAGGAACAAUACCGAGCUUACCAUCAGUUCCUUCCUGCAAUCAGUUAUAUCUUCAUUUAUCAGAACUUCCGGGAGAAGGUUUUUCCUGUCCCAGUCUGGCCAAAAGCGAGAAUGCAGACAUUGUGCCCGUCAAGUGCAGAUCUGAGGAUUGGUUUUACUUCUUGGAAAACAUCCUCUGCAUGGGACCACACUGAAAUGAAUCAUACUGCCGAAGAGAAAAACUGACAAUAACCGGUGAUUUGGUCUUCAAAUUGUUCGUUUGGACCAAUGGCCGUACCCGGCAGAAGACUCUAAUACUUCCUGAAUUUUGGCCAAGCUCUGCGCUCAGAUCCUUGGAAAUUCAAGAAACAACAACUGCUAUCAAGAAUUGAAGA